rfam:Populus trichocarpa isolate Nisqually-1 chromosome 2, whole genome shotgun sequence.
AAACCAUGAUGAGGGCAAAGUAUUAAGCAAGUCUCGAUACCUAUCCCAACAUUGAUAAAAUGUUUCUCCUGGUUUUUGAGUGAAAGUGGUGAUUUGUCUUUUGAAAGAGUUU